GCCUAGCUGGCUCUGUUGGUAGAGCUGGUGACCCCUGAUCUCAAAGUCAUGAGUUCAAGUCUCACAUUGGGCA
rnacentral:tRNA from 1 species